UGGGGAAUAUUGGACAAUGGGCGAAAGCCUGAUCCAGCAAUGCCGCGUGAGUGAUGAAGGCCUUAGGGUUGUAAAGCUCUUUUACCCGGGAUGAUAAUGACAGUACCGGGAGAAUAAGCCCCGGCUAACUCCGUGCCAGCAGCCGCGGUAAUACGGAGGGGGCUAGCGUUGUUCGGAAUUACUGGGCGUAAAGCGCACGUAGGCGGCUUUGUAAGUUAGAGGUGAAAGCCCGGGGCUCAACUCCGGAACUGCCAUUGAAACUGUUAGACUUGAGUAUGAGAGAGGUGAGUGGAAUUCCCAGUGUAGAGGUGAAAUUCGUAGAUAUUGGGAAGAACACCGGUGGCGAAGGCGGCUCACUGGCUCAUUACUGACGCUCAGGCGCGACAGCGUGGGGAUCAAAC
rnacentral:rRNA from 1 species